AGCGAACGCUGGCAGCAGGCCUAACACACGCAAGUCGAACGAAGUCUUCGGACUUAGUGGCGGACGGGUGAGUAACACGUGGGAACGUACCUUUUGGUUCGGAAUAACGCAGAGAAAUUUGCGCUAAUACCGAAUGAGCCCUUAGGGGGAAAGAUUUAUCGCCGAAAGAUCGGCCCGCGUUGGAUUAGGUAGUUGGUGUGGUAAAGGCGCACCAAGCCUACGAUCCAUAGCUGGUCUGAGAGGAUGAUCAGCUACACUGGGACUGAGACACGGCCCAGACUCCUACGGGUGGCAGCAGUGGGGAAUCUUGCGCAAUGGGCGAAAGCCUGACGCAGCCAUGCCGCGUGAAUGAUGAAGGUCUUAGGAUUGUAAAAUUCUUUUACCAGGGACGAUAAUGACGGUACCUGGAGAAAAAGCCCCGGCUAACUUCGUGCCAGCCGCCGCUGUAAAAC
rnacentral:rRNA from 1 species